AUUGAACGCUGGCGGCAUGCCUUACACAUGCAAGUCGAACGGUAACAGGUCUUCGGUUGCUGUCGAGUGGCGAACGGGUGCGUAAUACAUCCGAACGUGCCCGAUCGUUGGGAUAAAGGGGCCAAAACUUUUCUUAAUACCCAAUACGAUCUACGAUUAAAAGCCGGGGUUUUCCGAACUCCGCGCGGCCGUUGCGGCCGAUGGUAGAUUAGGUAGUUGGUGGGAUAAAAGCUUACCAAGCCGACGAUUUGUAGCUGGUCUGAGAGGAUGAUCAGCCACACUGGGACUGAGACACGGCCCAGACUCCUACGGGAGGCAGCAGUGGGGAAUUUUGGACAAUGGGCGAAAGCCUGAUCCAGCCAUGCCGCGUGAAGGAUGAAGGCCUUCGGGUUGUAAACUGCUUUUGUACGGAACGAAAAGCCUCUUUCUAAUAAAGAGGGGUCAUGACGGUACCGUAAGAAUAAGCACCGGCUAACUACGUG
rnacentral:rRNA from 1 species